GGUUAAGCGACUAAGCGUACACGGUGGAUGCCCUGGCAGUCAGAGGCGAUGAAGGACGUGCUAAUCUGCGAUAAGCGUCGGUAAGGUGAUAUGAACCGUUAUAACCGGCGAUUUCCGAAUGGGGAAACCCAGUGUGAUUCGUCACACUAUCAUUAACUGAAUCCAUAGGUUAAUGAGGCGAACCGGGGGAACUGAAACAUCUAAGUACCCCGAGGAAAAGAAAUCAACCGAGAUUCCCCCAGUAGCGGCGAGCGAACGGGGAGGAGCCCAGAGCCUGAAUCAGUGUGUGUGUUAGUGGAAGCGUCUGGAAAGGCGCGCGAUACAGGGUGACAGCCCCGUACACAAAAAUGCACAUAUUGUGAGCUCGAUGAGUAGGGCGGGACACGUGGUAUCCUGUCUGAAUAUGGGGGGACCAUCCUCCAAGGCUAAAUACUCCUGACUGACCGAUAGUGAACCAGUACCGUGAGGGAAAGGCGAAAAGAACCCCGGCGAGGGGAGUGAAAAAGAACCUGAAACCGUGUACGUACAAGCAGUGGGAGCACGCUUCGGCGUGUGACUGCGUACCUUUUGUAUAAUGGGUCAGCGACUUAUAUUCUGUAGCAAGGUUAACCGAAUAGGGGAGCCGAAGGGAAACCGAGUCUUAACUGGGCGUUAAGUUGCAGGGUAUAGACCCGAAACCCGGUGAUCUAGCCAUGGGCAGGUUGAAGGUUGGGUAACACUAACUGGAGGACCGAACCGACUAAUGUUGAAAAAUUAGCGGAUGACUUGUGGCUGGGGGUGAAAGGCCAAUCAAACCGGGAGAUAGCUGGUUCUCCCCGAAAGCUAUUUAGGUAGCGCCUCGUGAAUUCAUCUCCGGGGGUAGAGCACUGUUUCGGCAAGGGGGUCAUCCCGACUUACCAACCCGAUGCAAACUGCGAAUACCGGAGAAUGUUAUCACGGGAGACACACGGCGGGUGCUAACGUCCGUCGUGAAGAGGGAAACAACCCAGACCGCCAGCUAAGGUCCCAAAGUCAUGGUUAAGUGGGAAACGAUGUGGGAAGGCCCAGACAGCCAGGAUGUUGGCUUAGAAGCAGCCAUCAUUUAAAGAAAGCGUAAUAGCUCACUGGUCGAGUCGGCCUGCGCGGAAGAUGUAACGGGGCUAAACCAUGCACCGAAGCUGCGGCAGCGACGCUGAUGCGUUGUUGGGUAGGGGAGCGUUCUGUAAGCCUGCGAAGGUGUGCUGUGAGGCAUGCUGGAGGUAUCAGAAGUGCGAAUGCUGACAUAAGUAACGAUAAAGCGGGUGAAAAGCCCGCUCGCCGGAAGACCAAGGGUUCCUGUCCAACGUUAAUCGGGGCAGGGUGAGUCGACCCCUAAGGCGAGGCCGAAAGGCGUAGUCGAUGGGAAACAGGUUAAUAUUCCUGUACUUGGUGUUACUGCGAAGGGGGGACGGAGAAGGCUAUGUUGGCCGGGCGACGGUUGUCCCGGUUUAAGCGUGUAGGCUGGUUUUCCAGGCAAAUCCGGAAAAUCAAGGCUGAGGCGUGAUGACGAGGCACUACGGUGCUGAAGCAACAAAUGCCCUGCUUCCAGGAAAAGCCUCUAAGCAUCAGGUAACAUCAAAUCGUACCCCAAACCGACACAGGUGGUCAGGUAGAGAAUACCAAGGCGCUUGAGAGAACUCGGGUGAAGGAACUAGGCAAAAUGGUGCCGUAACUUCGGGAGAA
rnacentral:rRNA from 1 species